GCUGGCGCGCGGCCAGGCGGGAGCCCGGGGCUCCGGCGGUCUGGACCCGCCCACAAGGCCCGAGCUGGUUGUGGUGGAUAAGCGGCCGGAGCACUGAGCGGACCAGCAGCCGGCAGGAUGAACGUCCAGGCGGCUAUUGCUGCCUUUGCCUUCAGAGAACAACCAGGUGCCAUCAGACCUGUGCCUCGGUCACGCGUGAACUUUCCAGACCUGGCCUUCAUCACUCCCCUGGAGCCAAGCCUUUUCUUCCUCAGGGACUGCUUCUGUCCCAGAGCCGGCCCUCACCUUCCCCACCCUCUCUGCAGCCAGUGUGGAUUCUUUCUAAACGAGUUCAUCUCACUUAUACCUCCCCCACUUUCAGGUAUAAGCCGACUCCAGGACGGCUACACCUUGUUCUCCACUUGGCGCUGCUGCGAGGCCGGGGCGAGGGGCGAGGGGCGCGGAGCGCGGAAGAAGGGGUUUAGACUCCCGCUCCAGGACCCAGUCUCCUCUUUCUAGCUGGAAAUCGGCCAAUAAACCCUUUCUUCCAAAAUGGCGUUCAGCCCUGGAAGAAAAAUUUGUUUUACACCUGUAAUUUGUUAGAUAAAGUGGGCACUCUGUA